rnacentral:rRNA from 1 species
UACGGAGGGUGCAAGCGUUAUUCGGAAUUACUUUUCGUAAAUCGCACGCAGGCGGUCUGUCAAGUCGGAUGUGAAAUCCCCGGGCUCAACCUGGGAACUGCAUCCGAAACUGGCAGGCUAGAGUCUUGUAGAGGGGGGUAGAAUUCCAGGUGUAGCGGUGAAAUGCGUAGAGAUCUGGAGGAAUACCGGUGGCGAAGGCGGCCCCCUGGACAAAGACUGACGCUCAGGUGCGAAAGCGUGGGGAGCAAACAGGAUUAGAUACCCUGGUAGUCCACGCCGUAAACGAUGUCGACUUGGAGGUUGUGCCCUUGAGGCGUGGCUUCCGGAGCUAACGCGUUAAGUCGACCGCCUGGGGAGUACGGCCGCAAGGUUAAA